rnacentral:pre_miRNA from 9 species
UCUCGAUAGCGUAAAAGUAGCUCAAUUUUGUAUGGAGUUGGGACGUUUGUCUACAUUUGUCGCUAGGGGCGCUGUUCCAACUGCAUACAAAUUCUUGAUAACUUUUACGCUAUCGA